GACAGAGGGUGCAAACGUUGCUCGGAAUCACUGGGCGUAAAGGGCGUGUAGGCGGGAAGGAAAGUCGGGCGUGAAAUCCCUGGGCUCAACCCCAGGAACUGCACUCGAAACUUCUUUUCUUGAGUGCCGGAGAGGAAAGCGGAAUACCUGGUGUAGAGGUGAAAUUCGUAGAUAUCAGGUGGAACACCAGUGGCGAAGGCGGCUCACUGGUCCGGUACUGACGCUGAGGUGCGAAAGCGUGGGGAGCAAACAGG
rnacentral:rRNA from 1 species